GCGGGUGUAGUAUAAUGGUCAUUACCUCAGCCUUCCAAGUUGAUGAUACGGGUUCGAUUCCCGUCUCCCGCU
rnacentral:tRNA from 1 species